rnacentral:rRNA from 1 species
UACGGAGGAUGCGAGCGUUAUCCGGAUUUAUUGGGUUUAAAGGGUGCGCAGGCGGCACGGCAAGCCGGCGGUCAAAUCGCGGGGCUCAACCCCGCCCAGCCGUCGGAACUGCCGGGCUAGAGUGGGCGAGAAGUGCGCGGAAUGCGUGGUGUAGCGGUGAAAUGCAUAGAUAUCACGCAGAAUUCCGAUUGCGAAGGCAGCGCACCGGCGCCCUACUGACGCUCAGGCACGAAAGCGUGGGUAUCGAACAGG